GGAAGUUAAUAUCUCGGGUAGUAUUAGUUAAGGGUAAUACUUAGCUAGCUUAAUACGCGUAGUCGUGACUGGAAGGUUGAUCGACCACAGUGGGACUGAAUAAAUCCCAUGACGAUUGUCUCAGCAGUGAGGAAUAUUGGUCAAUAGCCUAACGGCUGAACCAGCAACUUGGAGGAAUGUAUAGCGAAAGCUACUUGCAUUUAGCUUAGUUAAAGCUAAGUUGGUGCAGGAUUGACUAUGUCAAAUAAAGUUCUAGGUGGGUUAUGAUGAUGACAUUUCCUAUCUAUGUGUCUUGACCAAAUUACGUGCCAGCAGUCGCGGUAACACGUAAAAGACUAGUGUUAUUCAUCUUUAAUAGGUUUAAAGGGUACCUAGACGGUAAAUCAAGUCCAAGAAGGGUACUAAUUUUACUAGAGUUUAAUGUGAGGGGGCACUAAAGUACUGAUAAGUGUAGAGAUGAAAUUCUGUGAUACAAUAUACGGCACUGGCAAAGGCGAAAGCAUCUCAUUAUGUAAUAACUGACGUUGAGGGACGAAGGCUAGGUGUAGCAAAAAGGAUUAGAUACCCAAGUAGUCUUAGCAGAAAAUUAUGAAUGUCAUAGGAUGGAAAGUUGGAUGGACAAACAACAAAUUUUUUUUCUAUAAAUGAAAGUGUAAGCAUUCCACCUCGAGAGUAAUUUGGCAACAUUGGAACUGAAAUCAUUAGACCGUUUCUGAAACAAGUAGUGAAGUAUGUUGUUUAAUUUGAUGGUCCGCAAAAAACCUUACCACAAUUUGAAUAGAAAUUUUUUUUCAUACAAGCGCUGCACGGUUGUCUUCAGUUAAUGUCGUGAGAUCUUGGUUAGUUCCAUUAAAUUAACGUAAACCCUUACUUUAUUUUUAUAUAGAGUAGUUCACCGCUAGAUUGGAUGUGAUAACAGG
rnacentral:rRNA from 1 species